rnacentral:rRNA from 1 species
GAUCAUGGCUCAGGAUGAACGCUAGCUACAGGCUUAACACAUGCAAGUCGAGGGGCAGCAUGAACUUAGCUUGCUAAGUUUGAUGGCGACCGGCGCACGGGUGAGUAACACGUAUCCAACCUUCCGUUUACUCAGGGAUAGCCUUUCGAAAGAAGAUAAUACCUGAUAGUAUGGUGAGAUUGCAUGAUAACAACCAUUAAAGAUUAUUGGUAAACGAAUGGGGAGUGCGUUCCAUUAGG